rnacentral:rRNA from 1 species
CCUACGGGUGGCAGCAGUGGGGAAUAUUGGACAAUGGGCGAAAGCCUGAUCCAGCCAUGCCGCGUGUGUGAAGAAGGCCUUCGGGUUGUAAAGCACUUUCAGUGGGGAAGAAAGCCUUGGGGCUAAUACCCUCGAGGAAGGACAUCACCCACAGAAGAAGCACCGGCUAACUCCGUGCCAGCAGCCGCGGUAAUACGGAGGGUGCGAGCGUUAAUCGGAAUUACUGGGCGUAAAGCGCGCGUAGGCGGUCUGAUAAGCCGGUUGUGAAAGCCCCGGGCUCAACCUGGGAACGGCAUCCGGAACUGUCAGGCUAGAGUGCAGGAGAGGAAGGUAGAAUUCCCGGUGUAGCGGUAAAAUGCGUAGAGAUCGGGAGGAAUACCAGUGGCGAAGGCGGCCUUCUGGACUGACACUGACGCUGAGGUGCGAAAGCGUGGGUAGCAAACAGGAUUAGAUACCCGAGUAGUC